AUUGAACGCUGGCGGCAUGCCUUACACAUGCAAGUCGAACGGUAACGCGGGGGCAACCCUGGCGACGAGUGGCGAACGGGUGAGUAAUACAUCGGAACGUACCCAGUAGUGGGGGAUAGCUCGGCGAAAGCCGGAUUAAUACCGCAUACGACCUAUGGGUGAAAGCGGGGGAUCGCAAGACCUCGCGCUAUUGGAGCGGCCGAUGUCGGAUUAGCUAGUUGGUGAGGUAAAGCUCACCAAGGCUACGAUCCGUAGCUGGUCUGAGAGGACGACCAGCCACACUGGGACUGAGACACGGCCCAGACUCCUACGGGAGGCAGCAGUGGGGAAUUUUGGACAAUGGGCGAAAGCCUGAUCCAGCCAUGCCGCGUGUGUGAAGAAGG
rnacentral:rRNA from 1 species